rnacentral:rRNA from 1 species
CCUACGGGAGGCAGCAGUCGGGAAUUUUGGGCAAUGGGCGAAAGCCUGACCCAGCAACGCCGCGUGAAGGAUGAAAUCCCUCGGGAUGUAAACUUCGCAAGAAUAGGAAGAAUAGGCGAGCGCUAAUACCGUUCGCGAUGACGGUACUAUUUGUAAGCUCCGGCUAACUCCGUGCCAGCAGCCGCGGUAAUACGGGGGGAGCAAGCGUUGUUCGGAUUUACUGGGCGUAAAGGGCGCGUAGGCGGCCAGCGCAAGUCAGUUGUGAAAUCUCCGGGCUUAACUCGGAACGGUCAACUGAUACUGCGCGGCUAGAGUGCAGAAGGGGCAACUGGAAUUCUCGGUGUAGCGGUGAAAUGCGUAGAUAUCGAGAGGAACACCUGCGGCGAAGGCGGGUUGCUGGGCUGACACUGACGCUGAGGCGCGAAAGCCAGGGGAGCGAA